rnacentral:rRNA from 1 species
UACGUAGGGGGCAAGCGUUGUCCGGAAUCAUUGGGCGUAAAGCGCGUGUAGGCGGCUCGGUAAGUCUGCUGUGAAAGUCCAGGCUCAACCCUGGGAUGCCGGUGGAUACUGUCGAGCUCGAGUCCGGAAGAGGCGAGUGGAAUUCCUGGUGUAGCGGUGAAAUGCGCAGAUAUCAGGAGGAACACCAAUGGCGAAGGCAGCUCGCUGGGACGUGACUGACGCUGAGACGCGAAAGCGUGGGGAGCAAACCGG